rnacentral:lncRNA from 1 species
GGAUUUCAAAACCUAGUGCCCUAAGACCGUUUGGUUUGGGAGUCACUGACCUAAAGCUCGCUACAUGGGUAACAUUGUUUGCCUAAGAAAACGGACAAAAGAAAGUCAAUGCAAAAAAAAAAAACAAGAAAAAAAAGAAAAAGAAAAAGAGAAGAAUAAGAGUUUGUGAAGUUUGGCUAGAUAUUUGUUUCGAUAGAGAUUGGGUCAGUUCAAAAUUGGUUGAAAAAGAGAAAAUGUUCUUAGACAAUUAGGAUCCAUCAAAGGCCUUAAAACACUUACACUCCUUGGAUUUCUAGUAAAUCUUUGUGUCGAUGCAAGUAGAUUAGAGACAACUGUAUCUUGAUUAGAGUAGAGUCGAGUAGACACUUGCUAGAAUGUCUCGAAGAUUUUAUGGGUAUAUCUUCUGUAAACCCUUAGGAGACAAAACUCCUCUUGUAGAGAUCGUCUACGAGUUUAACGGGUUGGUGAACCUAAAAUCACCCGUCACGCCUACGAAAAGGAGCCUAGGAAUCGCAUCUAGUUUUCUUAGUUUAUUUUCUUUUCUUUUGAUUUUUACUCGAGGACGAGCAAAAUUUAGGUAUGGGGACGUUUGAUAGGUCCAUUAUUUUGCACAUUUUAACUACCGAUUUAUUGCUUGUUUUCGUAUUUUAUUAGUUAAUUGUUUUGUUUUCAGGAAUUUUUAGAGAAAUCAAGAAUUCAAGAGAAAAAGGAACAAAAAGGUGCAAGAAGGGAAAAAGAGGAAGAAAAAGAAAAGAAAAAGAAGAAGAAGAAAAAAAGGGAAAAGAAAAUCAGAACACAAGGACCCUUCUACCCCUAAAACCCUAAUCUUGGCCUAUAUAAACAUCCUCUUCUCUCAUUAGCCACCAACUUAGUCUACCAUAGUUUACCCUAGUUUUACCUAGUUGUUAGUAGCCUCCUUCAUCACUUUCUAGCUUUCUUUUUCAAAUUGUAAUCUCUCAAAUAUUGUAUACACUUUCUUGUUUAAUAUAAUUUCAAGUUUAGUUUCAUCAUCUCCUACAUCUUUAGCUUGUUGAAAUUUAUGGCUAUGACCAACUUUGCCUUCAACAAGUGGAUAAAAUGGCAUUUAUGCCAACCACUUGUGGGUUAAAGGAGCCUUUAUUAUAUAUGUUAAACUUACCUUUUUAGUAUUUAGCUUGAGCCCCUUUUAAUUCUCAAUAUUAUUAGUGGGUUCAAUGAUUUAGUUGAUAUUUUGGUUUGUAGUUUGAUGGGGUUUUGUUAGAGACAUGGUAGAUAAGCUAGUUUUGAAGUUUUGUUGGAUUUAGAGUUAGUUUGAUAUGAUUUGGUAGUGUUCUUGUUCUUGGUUUUGGUAUUUUUGAGGGCUUUUUGGUGUAAAUUUUAGUUUAUGAUUUUGACUUGAGGUUAGUGGGUUUGUGUUUGAAAUAUUAUGUUUAGGUUAGAUUUAAAGUUUGGUGUAUUUUGGAGUUGUUUUGGCUUGAUUUUGGUCUUGUUUUGGUGAGAAAUGGGUAGUUUAGGAGCUAUUUAGUGUAGAAUUUAUUGUUGAAUUUGAUUUAGAGGUUAGUGGGGUUUGAUUUGUUAUAUUUGGAAUGGCUAGAUUAUCCGGUUAAAUUAAUUUUCCGGUGAGAUUUAGGCUAUUCCGGUGGCUACCAUUCUUUCCGGCAUUGCUUUGCUAUCUCGCAUUUGUGUCUGUCCUCUGUUUCCAACGCGCUGCUAUUUUCAUUUUAUUAUUAUUUUUUAUAUAUAUGUAAUACUGAAUGAACGUGACCACCAUCUGCCGUUUCAUUGUUUUGGUUUUUGCCGCGGCAGGUUCACGUACGAACUGACGUAGUAGUUUUUCUUUUCUUUUUUUUUAUUAAUCUCGUUAGCUUGUUUUUCUUGUUUAUUGAAAAAAAAUUAAGUUAAUUAGUUUCUUACUUUUAUUUUGUCAUUUAGCUUAUUUAAAAAAUUCUCAAAAUCUUUUGGUCUAAUUUGAUUAAGUUAAAAAUUAAGUUUUCGCGAAAAUAAAUUUAGUCCUUGGAACGAAUCUUAUAUUACUAAAACGGGAUCGUGCACUUGCGAGUGAAAUCAUAUUUUUGAGCACAUCAACAUGACGAUCGCCAUUGAUGGUUCGAAUCAUUGACACCUGGCCAGGAUUCUCGACAACACCAAUCACAUUUGUAGCCAAACAAUACCAUAAAUGUAUCAUACAAUGAGAAAAGAAUAGCUUGG